GACGAACGCUGGCGGCGUGCUUAACACAUGCAAGUCGAACGGAAAGGCCCGGCUUUUGUGGGGUGCUCGAGUGGCGAACGGGUGAGUAUCACGUGAGUAACCUGCCCUUGACUUUGGGGUAACUUAAGGAAACUGGGGCGAAUAUCGGGUAGAAGCUCCUGCUACAUGGUGGGGGUGGGAAAGAUUCGGCGGUUGGGGAUGGACUCGCGGCUUAUCAGCUUGUUGGUGGGGUAGUGGCUUACCAAGGCAUUGACGGGUAGCCGGCCUGAGAGGGUGACCGGCCACAUUGGGACUGAGAUACGGCCCAGACUCCUACGGGAGGCAGCAGUGGGGAAUAUUGCACAAUGGGCGGAAGCCUGAUGCAGCAACGCCGCGUGCGGGAUGACGGCCUUCGGGUUGUAAACCGCUUUCGCCUGUGACGAAGCGUGAGUGACGGUAAUGGGUAAAGAAGCACCGGCUAACUACGUG
rnacentral:rRNA from 1 species